UAUAUUAUUUUGAAAUUGUAAUUAUUAUGCUUGUAAUAAGUUUAACAUCAGGAUUUGAUUUCUGAAUUGCUGAAAGUUCUGUUUAAUAAAUCAAAUUUGAAAAAGAGCAAACAGCACUCUGGAUGUCUUCAACGAUAAACCAGAAGAUUAGAGUUUUGAUAAGGAUUUGAAAUCAUGAGUAAAAGGACCAGACAAGGAUAUUUAACAAAACCUUUUAGAAGAAUCACUUAAAUAAGAGUACAAAAUAAUUAACAUGUCUUGUUACUGAACCUUGUGUCCAACAUUACUAAUAG
rnacentral:lncRNA from 1 species